AGGGCGCACGGUGGAUGCCUUGGCACCAGGAACCGAUGAAGGACGUGGGAGGCCACGAUAGUCCCCGGGGAGUCGUCAACCAGGCUUUGAUCCGGGGGUUUCCGAAUGGGGAAACCCGGCAGUCGUCAUGGGCUGUCACCCGCUGCUGAACACAUAGGCAGUGUGGAGGGAACGCGGGGAAGUGAAACAUCUCAGUACCCACAGGAAGAGAAAACAAAAGUGAUUCCGUGAGUAGUGGCGAGCGAAAGCGGAGGAGGCUAAACCGUGUGUGUGUUCAAGCCGGCAGGUGUUGCAUGUGCGGGGUUGUGGGGGCCUGUGUGAUCCUGCUGCCGUGGGAUCGGCUUGCAUGUGGUGUGAAGUUGAAUCGUCUGGGAAGGCGGACCGUAGUGGGUGAGAGUCCCGUAGUCGAAAUGUGUUCCGCCGCUGUUGGAGGGUCGCCCGAGUAGCACGGGGCCCGAGGAAUCCCGUGUGAAUCUGCCAGGACCACCUGGUAAGCCUGAAUACUACCUGUUGACCGAUAGCGGAUCAGUACCGUGAGGGAAUGGUGAAAAGUACCCCGGGAGGGGAGUGAAAUAGUACCUGAAACCAUGUGCCUACAAACCGUCGGAGCCUCCUUGUUGGGGUGACGGCGUGCCUUUUGAAGAAUGAGCCUGCGAGUUAGUGAUACGUGGCGAGGUUAACCCGUGUGGGGAAGCCGUAGCGAAAGCGAGUCUGAAUAGGGCGAUUCAGUCGCGUGUCCUAGACCCGAAGCGGAGUGAUCUACCCAUGGCCAGGUUGAAGCGCGUGUAAGAGCGCGUGGAGGACCGAACCCACUUCAGUUGAAAAUGGAGGGGAUGAGCUGUGGGUAGGGGUGAAAGGCCAAUCAAACUCCGUGAUAGCUGGUUCUCCCCGAAAUGCAUUUAGGUGCAGCGUCACGUGUUUCUUCCCGGAGGUAGAGCUACUGGAUGGCUGAUGGGCCCUACAAGGUUACUGACGUCAACCAAACUCCGAAUGCCGGGAAGUGAGAGCGUGGCAGUGAGACUGUGGGGGAUAAGCUUCAUAGUCGAGAGGGAAACAGCCCAGACCACCGGUUAAGGCCCCUAAGCGUGUGCUAAGUGGGAAAGGAUGUGGAGUUGCUGAGACAACCAGGAGGUUGGCUUAGAAGCAGCCAUCCUUUAAAGAAAGCGUAAUAGCUCACUAGUCGAGUCGGCCUGCGCGGAAGAUGUAACGGGGCUAAGCCAGUUACCGAAGCUGCGGAUUUGCAAUUUAUUGCAAGUGGUAGGAGAGCGUUCUGUACGCCUGUGAAGGUGGAUCGUGAGGUCUGCUGGAGGUAUCAGAAGUGCGAAUGCUGACAUGAGUAGCGUUAAAGGGGGUGAAAAGCCCCCUCGCCGUAAGCGCAAGGUUUCCUACGCAACGUUCAUCGGCGUAGGGUGAGUCGGCCCCUAAGGCGAGGCAGAGAUGCGUAGCUGAUGGGAAACAGGUCAAUAUUCCUGUACCGAUGUGUAGUGCGAUGUGGGGACGGAGAAGGUUAGCUCAGCCGGGUGUUGGAUGUCCCGGUUCAAGCCUGUAGUCGUGCCUGGUAGGCAAAUCCGCCGGGCUUAGAUGAGGGGUGAUAACGAGGCGGCUUGCCGCCGAAGUGAGUGAUACCCUGCUUCCAGGAAAAGCCACUAAGCUCCAGCUACACACGACCGUACCGCAAACCGACACUGGUGCGCGUGAUGAGUAUUCUCAGGCGCUUGAGAGAACUCUGGAGAAGGAACUCGGCAAAUUGACACCGUAACUUCGGAAGAAGGUGUGCCUUGAGUAGGUGAAGUUGUACAAAUGGAGCCGAAAGGGGCCGCAGAGAAUCGGUGGCUGCGACUGUUUAAUAAAAACACAGCACUCUGCAAAGACGAAAGUCGACGUAUAGGGUGUGACGCCUGCCCGGUGCUGGAAGAUUAAAUGAUGGGGUGCAAGCUCUUGAUUGAAGUCCCAGUAAACGGCGGCCGUAACUAUAACGGUCCUAAGGUAGCGAAAUUCCUUGUCGGGUAAGUUCCGACCUGCACGAAUGGAGUAACGACUUCCCCGCUGUCUCAACCAUGAACUCGGCGAAAUUGCAUUACGAGUAAAGAUGCUCGUUACGCGCAGAAGGACGGAAAGACCCCGAGACCUUUACUAUAGUUUGGUAUUGGUGUUCGGUGUGGCUUGUGUAGGAUAGGUGGGAGACUGUGAAGCCGGCACGCCAGUGCUGGUGGAGUCAUCGUUGAAAUACCACUCUGGUCACUCUGGACAUCUAACUUCGGCCCGUGAUCCGGGUCAGGGACAGUGCCUGAUGGGUAGUUUAACUGGGGCGGUUGCCUCCCAAAAUGUAACGGAGGCGCCCAAAGGUCCCCUCAGCCUGGUUGGCAAUCAGGUGUCGAGUGCAAGUGCACAAGGGGGCUUGACUGUGAGAGAGACAUCUCGAGCAGGGACGAAAGUCGGGACUAGUGAUCCGGCACUGGCUUGUGGAAGCGGUGUCGCUCAACGGAUAAAAGGUACCUCGGGGAUAACAGGCUGAUCUUGCCCAAGAGUCCAUAUCGACGGCAUGGUUUGGCACCUCGAUGUCGGCUCGUCGCAUCCUGGGGCUGGAGUAGGUCCCAAGGGUUGGGCUGUUCGCCCAUUAAAGCGGUACGCGAGCUGGGUUCAGAACGUCGUGAGACAGUUCGGUCCCUAUCCGCUGCGCGCGUUGGAAAUUUGAGAAGGUCUGUCCUUAGUACGAGAGGACCGGGACGGACGAACCUCUGGUAUGUCAGUUGUACCGCCAGGUGCAUGGCUGAUUAGCUACGUUCGGGAUGGAUAACCGCUGAAAGCAUCUAAGCGGGAAGCCCCCCCCAAGAUUAGAUCUCCCUGGGAACUUGA
rnacentral:rRNA from 1 species